rnacentral:rRNA from 1 species
AUGUCUCCUCAAGUUUUCCGCACCCAAUCUCUGAUUCCCCACCAUGCACUCUUCCUUCUUUGCACCAUCCUCAUAUUUCUAUCCUCCAACACAAUCAUAUUCUCAUCGGCACAGGCUACCAACAAAACCGAAGAUGACCGGCAAGCCCUUCUCUGCUUCAAAGCUGGCAUCUCCAAGGACCCUGCCGGUGUUCUUGGAUCAUGGCGCAAUGACUCGCUUAACUUCUGCAGCUGGCGAGGGGUCAACUGCAGCACCACCCUCCCGAUCCGUGUCGUGUCCCUCCAAUUGAGGUCUGCUCAGCUCACAGGAACACUAUCCAGCUGUACAGCUGCCCUUACUUCUCUAUUUCAGUUGAACCUUUGGAAUAAUAAGUUAUCUGGAAGCGUACCUGAAGACAUAGGUGAGCUUCGGAGCCUCCAAACCCUGAUGCUUGCUGGCAACAGGCUUUCAGGUAACAUCCCUCUGUCAUUAGGUACAGCUGCAUCUCUUAGAUAUGUCAACCUUGCAAACAAUUCUCUUAGUGGAGCUAUCCCUGAUUCCUUAGCAAAUAGUUUGUCACUCAGUGAGAUAAUCCUCUCACGUAAUAACAUAUCUGGGGUGAUCCCAGCUAAUUUAUUCAACUCAUCCAAACUUGUUGCUGUUGACCUCCGGUCGAAUGCUCUCUCCGGGCCUAUCCCACAUUUCCAAAAGAUGGAUGCUCUGCAAUUUCUUAAUCUUACAGGGAAUUCACUUUCUGGUACUAUACCAGCAUCUUUGGGCAAUGUUUCAUCAUUGCGUUCCCUCCUGCUAGCACAAAACAACUUAGCAGGAUCAGUUCCAGAAACUUUGGGUCAAAUUCCAAACCUAACAGUGCUAGAUCUAAGUAAUAACAUGUUCACGGGGUAUGUCCCAGUUACACUGUACAAUGUGUCAUCACUCACACUCUUUAGCUUAGGCACCAACAAUUUUAUUGGACACAUACCUUCUGAAAUUGGCCACUCACUUCCAAAUCUUCAAACAUUGGUAAUGGGAGGCAACGGAUUUCGUGGACCAAUCCCAGAUUCUCUGACCAACAUGUCAAAGCUCCAAGUGCUUGAUCUUUCAAGCAACUUGCUGACUGGCAUGGUGCCAUCCCUAGGAUCCUUGGCAGACAUGAGUCAACUGAUUUUACGUAAUAAUAAACUCGAAGCUGGCGACUGGGCCUUCCUUACCUCUCUGACCAAUUGCACUCAGUUGUUAAUAUUAUCAAUGGAUGGAAAUAUCCUGAAUGGAAGUUUGCCAAAAGCAGUAGGCAAACUUUCAACAAAGCUUCAGCGGUUAAGCUUUGGAAGAAACCAAAUUUCUGGAAACAUACCAGCUGAGAUAGGCAAGCUUGUAAGUCUCACUCUGCUUGACAUGGGCCAGAACAUGCUCUCUGGACCAAUUCCCCUGACAGUUUGGAACUUGAGAAACUUGGUUGUCCUAAAACUUUCCAUGAAUAGGUUGUCACGUCAGAUUCCAUCAACAGUUGGUAAUCUUGUUCAACUCAACCAGCUUGAUCUUGAUGGCAAUGAAUUGUCUGGAAACAUACCAGCAAAUAUAGGACAGUGCAAAAGGCUUGCUAUGCUGAACAUGUCAGUUAACCGCCUUGAUGGAUCCAUACCAAUAGAACUCUUUGGUAUUUCUUCCCUUUCAUUGGGUUUGGACUUGUCAAACAACCACCUGACUGGGCCUAUACCACAGGAAGUUGGUAACCUGAUCAAUCUUGGCCUCCUAAAUAUUUCCAAUAACAAAUUAUCUGGUGGCCUUCCUUAUGAACUUGGCCAGUGUGUUCAACUGCUAUCCCUUCAAAUAGAACGCAACAUGCUCAGCGGGUAUAUUCCUCAGUCUUUCAGUGCACUGAAGGUCAUACAGCAGAUAGAUCUGUCCGAGAACAAUUUAAUUGGUCAAGUUCCACAGUAUUUUGGGAACUUCAGCAGCUUAAAUUAUAUUAAUAUAUCAUACAACAAAUUGGAAGGGCCAAUCCCGACUGGUGGCAUAUUUGGAAAUUCAACUGCAGUAUUCCUGCAAGGCAACACAGGGUUAUGUGCAGUUAUUGCCAUAUUUGGACUGCCCAUUUGCCCCACCACCCCAGCAACAAAAAAGAAGAUAAAUGCACGCCUGCUGCUGAUAAUAACUGCAUUGAUUACUGUUGCUUUGUUCUCUAUUAUAUGUGUUGUUGUCACUGUUAUGAAGAGGACCAAAACUCAACCAUCUGAAAACUUCAAGGAAACAAUGAAGAGGGUGUCAUAUGGGAACAUCCUUAAAGCCACCAAUUGGUUCUCUGUAGUUAACCGGAUAAGCUCAAGUCAUACAGCAUCAGUCUACAUUGGUCGAUUUGAGUUCGAGACAGAUCUCGUGGCCAUCAAGGUGUUCCAUCUCAGUGAGCAGGGUUCGAGAACUAGCUUUUUCACCAAGUGCGAAGUUCUGAAAAACACCCGCCACCGCAAUCUGGUUCAAGCUAUCACCAUGUGCUCAACCGUAGAUUUCGAGGGCGAUGAAUUCAAGGCUAUAGUAUAUGAGUUCAUGGCAAACGGUAGCCUGGACAUGUGGAUACACCCAAGGGUUGGCAGCUCAAGGAGGCUGUUGAGCUUGGGCCAGCGGAUAAGUAUUGCUGCUGAUGUAGCUUCUGCUCUGGACUAUAUGCACAACCAGCUGACACCUCCUUUAAUUCACUGUGAUCUGAAGCCGAGCAAUGUUCUGCUGGACUACGACAUGACCUCAGCAUUGGCGACUUUGGGUCCGCCAAGUUUCUCUCUUCAAGUAUCGGCAGACCAGAAGGCUUGA